rnacentral:rRNA from 1 species
UGAGCGGUGCUUGCACCGAGAUUCAACAUGGAACGAGUGGCGGACGGGUGAGUAACACGUGGGUAACCUGCCCUUAAGUGGGGGAUAACAUUUGGAAACAUAUGCUAAUACCGCAUAGAUCCAAGAACCGCAUGGUUCUUGGCUGAAAGAUGGCGUAAGCUAUCGCUUUUGGAUGGACCCGCGGCGUAUUAACUAGUUGGUGAGGUAAUGGCUCACCAAGGCGAUGAUACGUAACCGAACUGAGAGGUUGAUCUGCCACCUUGGGACUGAGACACGGCCCAAGCUCCAACGGGAGGCAUCAGUACGGAAUCUUCCACAAUGGACGCUAGUCUGAUGGAUCAACGCCGCGUGAGUGAAAAAGGCUUUCGGGUCGAAUACUCUGUUGUUGGAGAAAAAUGGUCGGCAUACAACUGUUGUCGGCGUGACGGUAUCCAACCAGAAAGCCACGGCUAACUACGUGCCAGCACCCGCGGUAAUACGUAGGUGGCAAGCGUUAUCCGGAUUUAUUGGGCGUAAAUCGAGCGCAAGCGGUUUUUUAAGUCUGAUGUGAAAGCCCUCGGCUUAACCGAGGAAGCGUUUCGGAUCUGGGAAACUUGAUUGCACAACAGGACAUGGAACUCCAUGUGUACCGGUGAAUGCCUAGAUAUAUGGAACAACACCAGUGAAGACGCGGCUGUCUGGACUGUACUGACGCUGAGGCUCGAACCAUGGUAGCGAAGCGAUACAUACCUGCUACUCAUGCACAUACAAUGUAUGCUCAGUGUUGUAGGUUUCCGUCUUCGUGCCGCACUACGCUUAUC